rnacentral:misc_RNA from 1 species
GGAAGGAUCAUUACUGAGUGAUUUGGGGCGGUCUGUCCUAUGUGGCAGCCCUGCUCCGGUUACCCGUCCUUAUGUCAUCAGCACGGACCCGCUUCUUGCGCCGACCGCAGGUCGUGUUGCGGACUGCGGGGACGAGACCGCAUUUCCGUCGAGGUGGCACAGCACCUUUUUCCUAAGUCCAGGUAACUGGUCUUUAGUAAAAGGCUGUUAUGCCCGCGGCGGGCCUAUAAAAAACUUUUUUUAUUCUACUCUUAUGAGAACCUGAAGUCUGAAAAAUCCCAAUAUGGGAACUAAGAAAAGCAAAACUUUCAACAACGGAUCUCUUGGCUCUGGCAACGAUGAAGAACGCAGCGAAACGCGAAAGGUAAUGCGAAUUGCAGAAUCAGUGAGUCAUCGAAUCUUUGAACGCACAUUGCGCCUCUCGGUAUUCCGGGAGGCACGCCUGUUCGAGCGCCAUUACACACUCCAAGCUCUGCUUGAUGUUGGACACUGCGCGACCCUGUGGGUCGCACAUGUCUGGAACGUGUAGGCGCCUACCGCCGAACCACGAGCGUAGCAAGGCAUUUCUGUCAUUCGCUUUGUUGGAAUUGGAGGGUAGGCAGCCCGACUUUGUAGUCAACCAUUAUCGAGUUUGGCCUCGGAUCAGGCGGGGAUACCCGCUGAACUUAAGCAUAUCAAUAAGCGGAGGAAAAGAAACCAACCGGGAUUGCCCUAGUAACGGCGAGUGAAGCGGCAACAGCUCAAAUUUGAAAUCUGGCGUCUUAGACGUCCGAGUUGUAAUUUGCAGAGGGAUUCUCGGGUUGAGGGUCGGUCCAAGUUUCUUGGAACAGAGUACCGUAGAGGGUGAGAGUCCCGUCUCCGGCCGACACCAACGCCCAUGUGAGACCCCUUCGACGAGUCGAGUUGUUUGGGAAUGCAGCUCUAAAUGGGUGGUAAAUUCCAUCUAAGGCUAAAUACCGGCCAGAGACCGAUAGCGAACAAGUAGAGUGAUCGAAAGAUGAAAAGCACUUUGAAAAGAGAGUCAAACAGUACGUGAAAUUGUUGAAAGGGAAGCGUAUGAGGCCAGACUUGGCCGCAGGUGCUCCGCUCGUCUUCUGGCGAGUGUACUCUCCUGUGGACAGGCCAGCAUCGGUUUCCAGGGCCGGACAAAGGCGACAGGAAUGUGGCUCCCUUCGGGGAGUGUUAUAGCCUGGCGCGCAAUGCGGCCUCUGGGGACCGAGGACCGCGCUUUAUGCAAGGAUGCUGGCGUAAUGGCCUUAUACGGCCCGUCUUGAAACACGGACCAAGGAGUCUAACAUCUAUGCGAGUGUUUGGGUGUCAAGCCCGAGCGCGUAAUGAAAGUGAACGGAGGUGGGAGCAUUCGUGCGCACCAUCGACCGAUCCUGAUGUCUUCGGAAGGAUUUGAGUAAGAGCAUAGCUGUUGGGACCCGAAAGAUGGUGAACUAUGCGUGAAUAGGGUGAAGCCAGAGGAAACUCUGGUGGAGGCUCGCAGCGGUUCUGACGUGCAAAUCGAUCGUCAAAUUUGCGUAUAGGGGCGAAAGACUAAUCGAACCAUCUAGUAGCUGGUUCCUGC